rnacentral:rRNA from 1 species
UACGAAGGGGGCUAGCGUUGCUCGGAAUCACUGGGCGUAAAGGGUGCGUAGGCGGGUUUUUAAGUCAGAGGUGAAAUCCUGGAGCUCAACUCCAGAACUGCCUUUGAUACUGAAGAUCUUGAGUCCGGAAGAGGUGAGUGGAACUCCGAGUGUAGAGGUGAAAUUCGUAGAUAUUCGGAAGAACACCAGUGGCGAAGGCGACUUACUGGACACAUAUUGACGCUGAGGUGCGAAAGCGUGGGGAGCAAACAGG